GAGGCAGACUAUUUUUUACUAAGAUAAUUUAUAUGGAUAGUUAUUUUAGUUCUCUGUCUUUGCCCAUUUAUUUUUUCUUUAAUCAUCUCUCCUGCCUAGGAAAAUAGCUGUUUUCCAGGAAGGGUUAUUUUGUUCUGUGAUCAUUUAAACUUUAGAAAAAAAGAUCAGGAUUAGUGUUAAUAUCAGCUGCAGUUUCUCAAUCUGUAUGAAUCCUGUCAUCCAAGAAGCCCCUUGGUGAACUGGGAGAUUUGUGCCCAGUGACAAAGAUCUGGACAUUUGCUGUGUCUGAAGGAGAAUUUGUGAUGGAAUGUCGCAGUUUGGAUUCUUGCCAGCUACUACCUAAAUGCAGUAGGGGGUCAGUGCCUUGCUUUGUGAUGACAGUCUUUUUUGAAAAUAUGCAAAGUCAGAAUCCAGGCUCACAUUAAGGUUUUUAAAGAGUCUGUCUCCUAACUACACAAAGUAGAGUGAGAGAAAGGCAAGGACCCACAGACAGCAGGGGAGGGUGUUAUCCAAACAUUUCAUUUUCAAAACCUUCAGGUUGGGAUAACCACAUUCUUACACACAUAUUCUGAGAGAGAGAGAAUUCAUGAUGAACCCAUCUCUCUUUUUAAUUGGAAGUACACCAGCUCAAGAGAUUACUAAUCCAGACUACAACCAUAUUAUUGGGGUUUUUUUCCCCUGAAUCAGGCCUGUGUUAAUGGUAUAGUAUUUAUCAGGACAGGAUUCUAAAAUUACUCACAAACUUGUUGAAAAUUUGAAUACCUCCACACCAGCCUAAAAAUGGACCUUAAGUUCCUGGAACCUCUGAUGUUCUUUUAAAUCAAUGGAAAAAUGAUUUAUGAACUGUAUAUAGAGUACAUUCAUAAAUGUGAUGAUGUAUUUUAUCACUAAUCCAAGAUGUCAAUAUUAGAGUCUAUUUUGCUUAUAUUUUAAGCAAUUAUACGUUUUUGCAAUUCACUGAUGAUGUAUCAUUUUCAAACUGCUUUAAAUAUCCAUUAGAAACAAGUAUUUGAAGCUUUUACUUAAUAGUAAUUACC
ensembl:lncRNA